ensembl:snRNA U4 U4 spliceosomal RNA
AGCUUUGCACAGUGGUAGUAUCAUAGCCAAUGAGUUUUAUCUGAGGUGUGAUUAUUGCUAAUUGAAAACUUUUCCCAAUACCUCGCCAUGACGACUUGAGAUGUAGUCAGCAUUGGCAAUUUUUGAUAAUCUCUAAGGAGA